AUUUUAAUAGCUUAUUAAGUAAGAGCAUGAUAUUGAAGAUAUCAAGGAGAAUAAAUUUUCUUAAAGUA
rnacentral:tRNA from 1 species